CAGUUCUGUCCCCACAGUGUUCGUGGUGUUGAUCACAGUGGUUACCAGAAAAGCCUCAGCACUUCCUAUUCCUCUCUCAGAGCAAAAGAGCAGGUCAAAGGGGCAUCCACCUGAGGUUGUUAUUCUUUUUUUGUUUGUUUUGUUUUGUUUCUGAACAGGAGAAAACCACUCCUCCUGGAAGCACUGAGAAUAUUGUGGAAGAGAUUGGCCUGAAACAGCUGUUCAGCCUGAGACUGAUACUACUUAGAGCAGUAGCUGCUCCAGCUUCCACGGUGUGUGGCAGCAGCUUGCAGAAGUAGUGUUGUCGCAGCCUUCCUGGAGGAGAUCUGGAGCGAGCCAAGGGGUUUGGUGGGGUGGGAUCGGGGCACCUUUGGG
rnacentral:lncRNA from 1 species